rnacentral:rRNA from 1 species
GAUGAACGCUGGCGGCGUGCCUAAUACAUGCAAGUAGAACGCUGAAGGAGGAGCUUGCUCUUCUGGAUGAGUUGCGAACGGGUGAGUAACGCGUAGGUAACCUGCCUGGUAGCGGGGGAUAACUAUUGGAAACGAUAGCUAAUACCGCAUGACAACAGUUAUUGCAUGAUAACUGUUUAAAAGGGGCAACUGCUCCACUACCAGAUGGACCUGCGUUGUAUUAGCUAGUUGGUGAGGUAACGGCUCACCAAGGCGACGAUACAUAGCCGACCUGAGAGGGGGAUCGGCCACACUGGGACUGGGACACGGCCCAGGCUCCUACGGGAGGCAGCAGUAGGGAAUCUUCGGAAAUGGACGGAAGUCUGGCCGAGCAACGCCGCGUGAGUGAAGAAGGUUUUCGGAUCGUAAAGCUCUGUUGUAAGAGAAGAACGAGUGUGAGAGUGGAAAGUUCACACUGUGACGGUACCUUACCAGAAAGGGACGGCUAACUACGUG